UGGGUAACCUGCCCAAGAGAUCGGGAUAACACCUGGAAACAGAUGCUAAUACCGGAUAACAACAGAUGAUGCCUAUCAACUGUUUAAAAGAUGGUUCUGCUAUCACUCUUGGAUGGACCUGCGGUGCAUUAGCUAGUUGGUAGGGUAACGGCCUACCAAGGCGAUGAUGCAUAGCCGAGUUGAGAGACUGAUCGGCCACAUUGGGACUGAGACACGGCCCAAACUCCUACGGGAGGCAGCAGCC
rnacentral:rRNA from 1 species